GCCUUCGAGGUGUAGUGGUCAGCACGCUCGACGCGAACCGAGAGGUCCGUGGUUCGAAUCCCGGAGAAAGCA
rfam:Stegodyphus mimosarum contig5657, whole genome shotgun sequence.